rnacentral:rRNA from 1 species
UAUUACUUGUCGGCGACCGGCGCACGGGUGCGUAACACGUAUGCAACCUGCCCCUGUCAGGGGGACAACCGCCGAAAGGCGGGCUAAACCCGCGUACAUGCCACCGGGGCAUCCCGGAGGCAGGAAAGGCUUCGGCCGGACAGGGAUGGGCAUGCGGCGCAUUAGGCAGUAGGCGGGGUAACGGCCCACCUAACCGACGAUGCGUAGGGGUUCUGAGAGGAAGGUCCCCCACACUGGUACUGAGACACGGACCAGACUCCUACGGAAGGCAGCAG